AGCCAGACUCCUACGGGAGGCAGCAGUGAGGAAUAUUGGUCAAUGGCCGGAGGGCUGAACCAGCCAAGUCGCGUGAGGGAAUAAGGCCCUAUGGGUCGUAAACCUCUUUUGUCAGGGAGCAAAGGCGUCCACGUGUGGACGAGAGGAGAGUACCUGAAGAAAAAGCAUCGGCUAACUCCGUGCCAGCAGCCGCGGCAAUACGGAGGAUGCGAGCGUUAUCCGGAUUUAUUGGGUUUAAAGGGUGCGUAGGCGGAGUGUCAAGUCAGCGGUAAAAUUUCGGGGCUCAACCCCGUCGUGCCGUUGAAACUGACGCCCUUGAGUGAGUGAGAAGUAAGCGGAAUGCGUGGUGUAGCGGUGAAAUGCGUAGAUAUUAGGAGGAACACCAGUGGCGAAGGCGACUUUCUGGACAGUAACUGACGUUGAGGCACGAAAGUGUGGGGAGCAAACAGGAUUAGAUACCCCGGUA
rnacentral:rRNA from 1 species